rnacentral:lncRNA from 1 species
UGUGACUUAAGAGAUUAGAGAGACUCAGAACUGUAUGUUCUUAUUAAUGAGUGAGGUUACAUAUUUAUAUGGAGAGCAUAAGGGUUUACAAGAGUCGAAAUGGGCACUAUUGAAGCAUGUAGAGUCAAGGGCUGCUUUACGGAUGAUUGGAUGGAAAGGCUCACACGCUUUGCCUCUUUACAGCCUGUUCCAGCCUGGCACGCUCUUUCCUUAUCCUUUCAACGGUCUGAUCCCUUCUCCCUAAGCCCCCAAAGUAACUCCUCCUUAGCUACCGUGUUACUUGGGUGAUGCAAGG